UUAGGGUUUUGCAGAUUUGAGUCUGCACCCUAAAAAGAAGAGAUCUGUAGAAAAGCCCUAAUUGAGUUUCAUGAAGGAAGAACAAAAGCCUAAGUGAGAUAAAAGACCGAGUGUGAAGAUCGGAGUCAAAAGGAAGCGUUUGCAAAGUAUACGGACCGUGUACUCUGUUUACAUAACACACGACCCGUGAACAUGUCGAGAAGAAGAACAAAAUUAUUCAAGCAACCUUGUAUUCCAUAACAUUUGUCACGAGAUUGGUCAGAAAAUUUGAAGCACAAUAGUGUGUUUUGUCAUACUGAA